rnacentral:rRNA from 1 species
UGGGGAAUAUUGGACAAUGGGGGGAACCCUGAUCCAGCGACGCCGCGUGAGUGAAGAAGUAUUUCGGUAUGUAAAGCUCUAUCAGCAGGGAAGAAAAUGACGGUACCUGACUAAGAAGCCCCGGCUAACUACGUGCCAGCAGCCGCGGUAAUACGUAGGGGGCAAGCGUUAUCCGGAUUUACUGGGUGUAAAGGGAGCGCAGACGGUUUUGCAAGUCUGAAGUGAAAGCCCGAGGCUUAACCUCGGAGUUGCUUUGGAAACUGUAUAACUAGAGUAUCGGAGAGGUAAGUGGAAUUCCUAGUGUAGCGGUGAAAUUCGUAGAUAUGUGUAGGAAUGCCGAUGAUGAAGAUAACUCACUGGACAGCAACUGACGCUGAAGUGCGAAAGCUAGGGGAGCAAACAGG